rnacentral:rRNA from 1 species
AACGAACGCUGGCGGCAUGCCUAACACAUGCAAGUCGAACGAAGCCUUCGGGCUUAGUGGCGCACGGGUGCGUAACGCGUGGGAAUCUGCCCUUGGGUUCGGAAUAACAGUUAGAAAUGACUGCUAAUACCGAAUGAUGUCUUCGGACCAAAGAUUUAUCGCCCGAGGAUGAGCCCGCGUCGGAUUAGCUAGUUGGUGAGGUAAAGGCUCACCAAGGCGACGAUCCGUAGCUGGUCUGAGAGGAUGAUCAGCCACACUGGGACUGAGACACGGCCCAGACUCCUACGGGAGGCAGCAGUGGGGAAUAUUGGACAAUGGGCGAAAGCCUGAUCCAGCAAUGCCGCGUGAGUGAUGAAGGCCUUAGGGUUGUAAAGCUCUUUUACCCGGGAUGAUAAUGACAGUACCGGGAGAAUAAGCCCCGGCUAACUCCGUGCCAGCAGCCGCGGUAAU